AAUUCGCCCUUAGAGUUUGAUCAUGGCUCAGAUUGAACGCUGGCGGCAGGCCUAACACAUGCAAGUCGAACGGUAACAGGAAGAAGCCUGCUUCUUUGCUGACGAGUGGCGGACGGGUGAGUAAUGUCUGGGAAACUGCCUGAUGGAGGGGGAUAACUACUGGAAACGGUAGCUAAUACCGCAUAACGUCGCAAGACCAAAGAGGGGGACCUUCGGGCCUCUUGCCAUCGGAUGUGCCCAGAUGGGAUUAGCUAGUAGGUGGGGUAACGGCUCACCUAGGCGACGAUCCCUAGCUGGUCUGAGAGGAUGACCAGCCACACUGGAACUGAGACACGGUCCAGACUCCUACGGGAGGCAGCAGUGGGGAAUAUUGCACAAUGGGCGCAAGCCUGAUGCAGCCAUGCCGCGUGUAUGAAGAAGGCCUUCGGGUU
rnacentral:rRNA from 1 species